AUUUUUUUAAUAUAAUAAGUAUAUUUGAUUUCCAAUCAAAAAGUCUAUAAAUUUAGAAAAAAUA
rnacentral:tRNA from 1 species